GAUGAAGAACGUAGCGAAAUGCGAUAAGUAGUGUGAAUUGCAGAAUUCAGUGAAUCAUCGAAUCUUUGAACGCACAUUGCGCCCCUUGGUAUUCCAUGGGGCAUGCCUGUUCGAGCGUCAUUUGUACCUUCAAGCUUUGCUUGGUGUUGGGUGUUUGUCUCGCCUUUGCGUGUAGACUCGCCUUAAAAUAAUUGGCAGCCGGCGUAUUGAUUUCGGAGCGCAGUACAUCUCGCGCUUUGCACUCAUAACGACAGCGUCCAAAAGUACAUUUUACACUCUUGACCUCGGAUCAUGUAGGGAUACCCGCUGAACUUAAGCAUAUCAAUAAGCGGAGGA
rnacentral:misc_RNA from 1 species